UACGUAGGGAGCAAGCGUUGUCCGGAUUUAUUGGGCGUAAAGAGCGUGUAGGCGGUUCGGUAGGUCCGUUGUGAAAACUCGAGGCUCAACCUCGAGACGCCGAUGGAAACCAUCGAACUAGAGUCCGGAAGAGGAGAGUGGAAUUCCUGGUGUAGCGGUGAAAUGCGCAGAUAUCGGGAAGAACACCCGUGGCGAAGGCGGCUCUCUGGGACGGUACUGACGCUGAGACGCGAAAGCGUGGGGAGCGAACAGG
rnacentral:rRNA from 1 species